AUGCUUGCAUUCACCGUAAGAAGUUGAGUGGCGGACGGGUGAGUAACACGUGGGUAACCUGCCUAAAAGAAGGGGAUAACACUUGGAAACAGGUGCUAAUACCGUAUAUCUCUAACGAUCGCAUGAUCCUUAGAUGAAAGAUGGUUCUGCUAUCGCUUUUAGAUGGACCCGCGGCGUAUUAACUAGUUGGUGGGGUAACGGCCUACCAAGGUGAUGAUACGUAGCCGAACUGAGAGGUUGAUCGGCCACAUUGGGACUGAGACACGGCCCAAACUCCUACGGGAGGCAGCAGUAGGGAAUCUUCCACAAUGGACGCAAGUCUGAUGGAGCAAAGCCCGCGUGAAUGAAAAAAGGUCUUCGGAUCGGUAAAAAUCUUGUUGUUAAAGAAGAACACGAGUGAGAGUAACUGUUCAUUCGAUGACGGUAUCUAACCAGCAAGUCACGGCUAACUACGUGCCAGCAGCCGCGGUAAUACGUAGGUGGCAAGCGUUGUCCGGAUUUAUUGGGCGUAAAGGGAACGCAGGCGGUCUUUUUAAGUCUGAUGUGAAAGCCUUCGGCUUAACCGGAGUAGUGCAUUGGAAACUGGAAGACUUGAGUGCAGAAGAGGAGAGUGGAACUCCAUGUGUAGCGGUGAAAUGCGUAGAUAUAUGGAAGAACACCAGUGGCGAAAGCGGCUCUCUGGUCUGUAACUGACGCUGAGGUUCGAAAGCGUGGGUAGCAAACAGGAUUAGAUACCCUGGUAGUCCACGCCCGUAAACGAUGAAUGCUAGGUGUUGGAGGGUUUCCGCCCUUCAGUGCCGCAGCUAACGCAAUAAAGCAUUCCCGCCUGGGGGAGUACGAACCGCCAAGGUUGGAAACUCAAAAGGAAAUGAACGGGGGGCCCGCCACAAACAGGUGGGAGCAUGGUGGGUUUAAUUUCAAAAGCAACCCCGAAGAAACCUUAACCAAGGUCUUGGACAUUCCUUUUGACCAACCUAACAAAAAUUAAGGCUUUUCCCUUUCCGGGGAACGAAAAUGAACAGGGUGGGUGCCAUGGGCUUGUCCGUCAAGCUCGUGUCGUGAGAUGUUGGGUUAAGUCCCGCAACGAGCGCAACCCUUGUUGUCAGUUGCCAGCAUUAAGUUGGGCACUCUGGCGAGACUGCCGGUGACAAACCGGAGGAAGGUGGGGACGACGUCAAGUCAUCAUGCCCCUUAUGACCUGGGCUACACACGUGCUACAAUGGACGGUACAACGAGUUGCAAGACCGCGAGGUUUAGCUAAUCUCUUAAAGCCGUUCUCAGUUCGGAUUGUAGGCUGCAACUCGCCUACAUGAAGUCGGAAUCGCUAGUAAUCGCGAAUCAGCAUGUCGCGGUGAAUACGUUCCCGGGCCUUGUACACACCGCCCGUCACACCAUGAGAGUUUGUAACACCCAAAG
rnacentral:rRNA from 2 species